UUAAAAAAAAACUUUACAAACAUUAUGUAAAAUGGACCAUCUUGAAAAUAAAUUAUAAGUAAAAUAUUUAGCAGCGGUACCAAUUUUGGGUUAUAAUAAUUAUGAACGAUAUAAUGUACAUUUCAAAAUAAACGAUCAAACCAAUAAAAUUUUGAUUAGAAUUAAUUUUACUUUGCCUUUGCCCUAUACUGGUGCUAAUUCGGAUGUACACAAAUCUAUUGACACUUACAAUUGUCAAUUUAGAGUUUGCACUUUUAGGCAAGUGGCACAAGAAUAUGUACAAUGAUUUAGUUAAGUUUUUAAUGCUGUCUCUUUUUGGCAACCGCAUUAUGUUCUAGUCAAAAAGUGACAGCAUUACAAAUUAAAUCUUUUUAACUGAUAUCCUUGUGCAGACUUUUGAUCUUUAGUUUACUUUCAAGAUUUGUUUACACUCGAAUUUUGGAAGUUGGUUAAAAAUAGAUGCCUAUUUGGUUGUACAUAUAUUUCUAAACUCAAUUGACAGGCCUAAAAUUCGUCGUCGUACUAUCCAACGCGCGUCCACUAUAAGGAUUCUGUACCCCUUGUAUUGUACCGUGUUCCACUAUGGAUUUCUUGAAGCGGAAUUUACAUUACGAAAUUAGUUUUACGACAUUAGUUUCAUUAUCAAUUGCACGUGUAAACGUUUAAUUUCGUAAUGCAUCUAAUUUUGGAAUGCAUGCAUUACGAAAGAAGACGUCUACACAUGCAAUUGAUAAUGAAAUUAAUGUGAAACUAAUUUCGUAAUGUAAAUUCCGCUUAUGACCACAAUAUUAAGCUUGCAACUGCGGCCUUAAAAUUAGUACGAACCAUUCUAUAAGUACUAGCACUAAUUUUAGAUUUGUCAGUUUUGGUUGAGACACCUUCAAACAAUUCGCCAGUAAUAAUCAAAAGGCAAUUUCCAAACCUAGAUUAUUAUUAUAAAUUAUUAUUAAUUAGUUGUGAACCGUGAGUCUACUACAGUAUUCAGUUUACUUAGUAAGUAUUAAUAAAAUUCCUUUGUGAUUAUUUUGGCUAUUGAACUCGAAUGUAUGACCGUCUGUACGGUGCGAAUGUUAUUUUAUAUUUAUAAUUGACAAUGAUUGGUUUUAUAUUAUUUUUAUCGUACUGUGAUGGUUUUACUACUUACAUACUUAUUUUAAUUUUGUUGUUUAUUUUUAUUGUUUAUUGGAGCGAUAGUGGGGUUAUGGUGAUCGCACACUACCCAAGUGCCGCAGGCAACGCGUGCUACACCAUCUCAUACGAGCCGUAUUAAAUGAAAAUGUUUUAUUUGUAGGAAUAAUUAGUGUUAUUGUGCUCUAAAGAUAUAGUUUUCUGUCAUAGCAUUAUAGUCAUGUUGCAGCCACCAUAUGACAUCCCUUUUACGUUUUAAACGUCGAUUAAAGUUUUAAACGAAUGACGUCUGUGAGAGGUAAUCUAUUAAAAAAAGAGAUUUCUUAAAGUGGUCUCUCUAUACUCUAUCCACGGAUAGAAGUUAGUAUAUCGUUCUCUCUGUUACGUAAUUCCAUACAAAUGAUAGAGACAAAAAUCUCUGUGGGUGUUAACAGUUUUGCGUCACGAACUAAUCACAAACAUGUUUUCAAUAACAUUCGAAAUUCAAUUAGAAAACAUAGUUUCAUUUGUGAUUGGUUGGUGACUCAAAAUUGUUAGCGCCCACUGAAAUUUUUGUCUCUAUCAUUUAUAUGGAUUUAGUAACAGAAAGAGUGCUUAUUUCUUUCCGGCGGAUAGAGUAUAGCAUAGCUCCUACUUUUCGAUUCCUAUACAUCGAAAUCUUUGUUUGUUUAAAUUUAGUCUAGUAGAAUAUGUAUUUGAAUUUGAUAUUAAUAAGUUGGCGGAAUAAAAUAAUGUAAAAUAGUUUUCUGCCAAGCUUGCUAUGACUAGUCUUAGUUUUUUUAUAGUUAUGAAAUAAUUUUGGGUCUAGCGUAUGUACCUAUAAAAUAACUUCGUUAUUUAAAUUCUUAAUCAAUUUAUCAACUUAUGUACAUUGGACACUGGUAUACAAGAUGUUUUGUUUAAUUAUUAUUUACCUGAGCACCAGUUUAAUGAUAAAGUCAAUUUAAACUCGAAUUAAUGACAUCAAAAAGCAGUAAAUGAUUGUCAAUUUUCCUUUAUGAAAUGUGAUAUACUUCACAUGUAUGUAUGUACCUAUGUGAACAUAUUUUAAGUGAUAUUUUUGGUUGAUGGCAUAUAUUUUGUUAUUUUCUAUCUUAGGAAACUAUUAAAGUAACAAUUUUACUGA